GUGGGGAAUAUUGGACAAUGGGCGCAAGCCUGAUCCAGCAAUGCCGCGUGGGUGAAGAAGGUCUUCGGAUCGUAAAGCCCUUUCGACAGGGACGAUGAUGACGGUACCUGUAGAAGAAGCCCCGGCUAACUUCGUGCCAGCAGCCGCGGUAAUACGAAGGGGGCUAGCGUUACUCGGAAUUACUGGGCGUAAAGGGCGCGUAGGCGGCUCUGUUAGUCAGGCGUGAAAUUCCUGGGCUUAACCUGGGGACUGCGUUUGAUACUGCAGGGCUUGAGGCCGAGAGAGGGUGGUGGAAUUCCCAGUGUAGAGGUGAAAUUCGUAGAUAUUGGGAAGAACACCGGUGGCGAAGGCGACCACCUGGCUCGGUUCUGACGCUGAGGCGCGACAGCGUGGGGAGCAAACAGGAUUAGAUACCCUUGUAGUCC
rnacentral:rRNA from 1 species